GACGAACGCUGGCGGCGUGCUUAACACAUGCAAGUCGAACGAAGAGCGAUGGAAGCUUGCUUCUAUCAAUCUUAGUGGCGAACGGGUGAGUAACGCGUAGUCAACCUGCCCUUCAGAGGGGGACAACAGUUGGAAACGACUGCUAAUACCGCAUACGAUCUAAUCUCGGCAUCGAGGAUGGAUGAAAGGUGGCCUCUAUUUAUAAGCUAUCACUGAAGGAGGGGAUUGCGUCUGAUUAGCUAGUUGGAGGGGUAACGGCCCACCAAGGCGAUGAUCAGUAGCCGGUCUGAGAGGAUGAACGGCCACAUUGGGACUGAGACACGGCCCAGACUCCUACGGGAGGCAGCAGUGGGGAAUCUUCCGCAAUGGACGAAAGUCUGACGGAGCAACGCCGCGUGAGUGAUGACGGCCUUCGGGUUGUAAAGCUCUGUUAAUCGGGACGAAAGGCCUUCUUGCGAAUAGUUAGAAGGAUUGACGGUACCGGAAUAGAAAGCCACGGCUAACUACGUGCCAGCAGCCGCGGUAAUACGUAGGUGGCAAGCGUUGUCCGGAAUUAUUGGGCGUAAAGCGCGCGCAGGCGGAUCGGUCAGUCUGUCUUAAAAAUUCGGGGCUUA
rnacentral:rRNA from 1 species